UACGUAGGGUGCAAGCGUUGUCCGGAAUUAUUGGGCGUAAAGAGCUCGUAGGCGGUUUGUCGCGUCUGCUGUGAAAACUCGGGGCUUAACCCCGGGCCUGCAGUGGGUACGGGCAGACUAGAGUGCGGUAGGGGAGACUGGAAUUCCUGGUGUAGCGGUGAAAUGCGCAGAUAUCAGGAGGAACACCGGUGGCGAAGGCGGGUCUCUGGACAGAGAGUGACGCUGAGGCGCGAAAGUGUGGGGAGCGAACCGG
rnacentral:rRNA from 1 species